UUAAGUAAGAAAGGGCGUACGGCGGAUGCCUGGGCCAUAUCAGCCGACGAAGGACGCGAUAAGCUGCGAAAAGCUGCGGGGAGGUGCAAGUAACCGGAGAGCCGCAGAUAUCCGAAUGGGGAAACCCGGCAGUAGGAGUACUGUCACCUCUCGGAAGAGAGGAGGGCACCCGGUGAACUGAAACAUCUAAGUAGCCGGAGGAAAAGGAAUCAACAGAGAUGCCCCCAGUAGCGGCGAGCGAAAAGGGCGGAGCCCAAACCGGGGCGGGAAACCGCGCCGGGGUAGAGGACUACCGAAAGACAGCAGGAUGAAGUCGAAGCAGGUGGGAACCUGCGCCGCAGACGGUGAGAGCCCGGUAGACGUAAAGAGAGCUGAGGGGUAGGAUCCGGAGUACCACGGGGCACGAGGAACCUUGUGGGAAGCAGGGGGGACCACCCUCCAAGGCGAAAUACUGAUAUGGACCGAUAGCGCAAAGUACCGUGAGGGAACGGUGAAAAGAACCCCGGGAGGGGAAUGAAAGAGAACCUGAAACCGUAUGUCUACAAGCAGUCGAAGCACGAUGCAGGUGCGACGGCGUGCCUAUUGAAGAAUGAACCGGCGAGUUAUUUUUUUCGGCGAGGUUAAGCGGCAGACGCGGAGCCGAAGCGAAAGCGAGUCUGAAGAGGGCGCGAAGUCGAAAGGAAUAGACCCGAAACCACAGUGAUCUAUCCAUGCCCAGGUUGAAGCACAGGUAAAAAUGUGUGGAGGACCGAACCAGUGAGCGUUGAAAAGCUUUUGGAUGAGGUGUGGAUAGGGGUGAAAUGCCAAUCGAACGUGGAGAUAGCUGGUUCUCCCCGAAAUAGCUUUAGGGCUAGCCUCAUGAAAAGAGUACAGGCGGUAGAGCACUGAACAGGGAAGGGGCCGAGCGGUUACCGAACCUAAUCAAACUACGAAUGGCUGUACUUAUGCAUGGGAGUCAGACUGCGAGUGAUAAGACCCGUAGUCAAGAGGGAAACAGCCCAGACCAACAGCUAAGGUCCCGAAUGCCGUACUAAGUGGCAAAGGAGGUGGCGUUUCGAAAACAACCAGGAUGUUGGCUCAGAAGCAGCCAUCAUUAAAAGAGUGCGUAAUAGCUCACUGGUCGAGAGACGCGGCGCCGAAGAUGACCGGGGCUGAAGUACGGAACCGAAGCUUUGGCAUGUAUGGAGACAUACAUGGGUAGGGGAGCGUUCCUGCGUGGGAGAAGCCUGACCGGAAGGACAGGUGGACAGGCAGGAAGCGAGAAUGCCGGUAUGAGUAGCGAAAAGAAAGGUGGGAAUCCUUUCCACCGAAAGCCUAAGGGUUCCUGGGCAACGAUCGUCGACCCAGGGUAAGUCGGGGCCUAAUCCGAGGCGCAGACGCAUAGGAGAUGGACAACAGGUUGAAAUUCCUGUACCGACACCGUCCGAUAGAGCGAGGGAGUGACACAAGAAGGAACGUUCGCAUGCGAAUGGAAGAGCAUGUCCAAGCCGGUAGGUGGCGUAUCAGGCAAAUCCGGUACGCCGAAAGCCGAGAGGUGAUGGGGAGGCUGUAGAGAUACAGAGGAAGGAACGGGGACUCAAUUGUCAAGAAAAGCUUCUAGCGAGGACGGUGGCGCCCGUACCGAAACCGACACAGGUAGGCAGGACGAGAAUUCUAAGGUGCGCGGGAAACCCCUCGUUAAGGAACUCGGCAAAAUGUAUCCGUAACUUCGGGAAAAGGAUAACCCAGAGUAGGUGAAGGGCAGAAACGGCCGGAGCCGAAAUGGGUGGCACAAGAGAGGCCCAAGCGACUGUUUAGCACAAACACAGGCGUCUGCGAAAGAGAAAUCUGAAGUAUAGAUGCUGACACCUGCCCGGUGCUGGAAGGUUAAGAGGACGUGUGAGCCGCAAGGCGAAGCAGAGAAUUGAAGCCCCAGUAAACGGCGGCCGUAACUAUAACGGUCCUAAGGUAGCGAAAUUCCUUGUCGGGUAAG
rnacentral:rRNA from 1 species